rnacentral:tRNA from 1 species
GUUUUAAUAGUUUAAUAAAAACAUUAGUCUUGUAAACUAAAAUUAAUAACAUUUAUUUUAAAACU